rnacentral:rRNA from 1 species
GACGAACGCUGGCGGCGUGCUUAACACAUGCAAGUCGAACGGAAAGGCCCUGCUUUUGUGGGGUGCUCGAGUGGCGAACGGGUGGGUAACACGUGAGUAACCUGCCCUUGACUUUGGGAUAACUUCAGGAAACUGGGGCUAAUACCGGAUAGGAGCUCCUGCUGCAUGGUGGGGGUUGGAAAGUUUCGGCGGUUGGGGAUGGACUCGCGGCUUAUCAGCUUGUUGGUGGGGUAGUGGCUUACCAAGGCUUUGACGGGUAGCCGGCCUGAGAGGGUGACCGGCCACAUUGGGACUGAGAUACGGCCCAGACUCCUACGGGAGGCAGCAGUGGGGAAUAUUGCACAAUGGGCGGAAGCCUGAUGUAGCAACGCCGCGUGCGGGAUGACGGCCUUCGGGUUGUAAACCGCUUUCGCCUGUGACGAAGCGUGAGUGACGGUAAUGGGUAAAGAAGCACCGGCUAACUACGUG